rnacentral:lncRNA from 1 species
CUUUGGCAUUACAGAAUCAUGAAGGUUGAAAAAGACCUCUCAGAUCACCUAGUCCGACUGUCAACCCAAUCACCACCAUGCUCAACAACCACAUUGACAUGUAGACAUAAAGCAAAAUUGUUUAUGCAAACCACUGGUCUGACACCUGCAAGAUCAUAGCACUUAUGCAGAGACAAUGGGAACAUUGUAGUAAGAACCAGGAUGUGAACCAGUCUGCACCAGCACUGUGGUCUCAAAAACCACCGAGAGAGCCAAAGGUGAGAAGGACACCAGGAAACCUUCAUGAGGAAGACUUAGAGAAGACCUCUGCCCAGGACGACCAGAGAGCAGCACGCACGUGCACAGAGAUUGACAUGAGGGAUGGGGAAGAUGUGGCCGUACUUCAGUUGCAAUGGAAGAAGCUGAGGUAGCAGAAGCCAUCUGCCUGCAGAAACAUGGAGCUGGUUUAUCCUGCCAAAAAGAAGAGUCUUUCUAUGGUGUGGGUCUCAAACCUGUUAUUUCUAGCUUGUUUUCAGUGCUCAG